rnacentral:rRNA from 1 species
GAUGAACGCUGGCGGCGUGCCUAAUACAUGCAAGUCGAGCGAACAGACGAGGCGCUUGCUCCUCUCACGUUAGCGGCGCACGGGUGAGUAACACUUGGAUAACCUACCUCUAAGACUGCGAUAACUUCGUGAAACCGGCGCUACUCCCGUAUAAUCUAUUGACCCGCAUGGUUCAAUAGUGAAAGACGGUUUUGCUGUCUCUUAUCUAUGUAUCCGCGCCGCAUUAGCUAGUUGGUAAGGUAACGGCUUACCAAGGCAACGAUGCGUAGACGACCUGAGAGGGUGAGAGGACAGACAGGAACUGAGAGACGGACAAGACGCCUACGGGAGGAAGCAGGAGGGAAGCGGCCGAAAUGGGGGAAAGCGUGACGGAGCAACGCCGCGUGAGUGAGGAAGGUAUGCGGAUCGUAAAAGUCUGUUAUUAGGGAAGAACAAAUGAGUAAGUAACUAUGCACGUCUUGACGGUACCGAAUCAGAAAGCCACGGCUAACUACGUG